rnacentral:lncRNA from 1 species
AACUCUUCAAAGAAAGAACUUGUGCUUGUUACUAACUUCUCAAUAGCACUCUCCCAAGAAGCUUUUUGAGAUGGAGCUUGAUAUUUGCUUGAGCUCGUUGUUGACCUUGAAAUCCACCAUGUUGAUCUUUCCAUGAAAAAUUUUGAUGAUUUUUCCAACCCGGAUUGUACGUACUAGAUUAGGAGUUAUUCUGCUUCCCAUUGUUACCCAUAAAGUUCACCUUUUUUGGUUCUUUUGUAUCAUCAUCAUCUGGUACUUCACAAGCUCCAUUUUUAUGUGCUCCCCCACAAAAGCCACAACCAGUAUGUUUCAAUAAUUUGACAUGGGCCACUUAGUGUUGUAUAUUUAGAGCUGUCAUUCAGUUCUUUAUCUCAGCGGCGAUGACAUCUUCAAUUUGUUUUGAUAGGAGCUUCCCUUGAGACAACCCAACAUCCAGAACAUUCAAUUCUAGCAUAUCACUUUUUGAC